UACAGAGGGGGCAAGCGUUGUUCGGAAUUACUGGGCGUAAAGGGCGCGUAGGCGGCCUGUUAAGUCGAACGUGAAAUCCCUGGGCUCAACCCAGGAACUGCGUCCGAUACUGGCAGGCUUGAAUUCGGGAGAGGGAUGUGGAAUUCCAGGUGUAGCGGUGAAAUGCGUAGAUAUCCGGAGGAACACCGAUGGCGAAGGCAGCUUCCUGGCCCGUAUCUGACGCUGAGGUGCGAAAGCGUGGGGAGCGAACGGG
rnacentral:rRNA from 1 species